GCUGUGUUGGUUAGUCGUCUUUGUUGGAAGCAAAAGCCAUGAUGUAGACAUCCUUUGAUGUCGGCGUUAGUCGGAGGCCUGGUCCCCCUUUUACCUCAAGGCGCUCGCCAGGUAAACUGUCGGGAGUCGUGUGCCGGGUUGACAGGACACAGCAAGAGGCGGGCUCGCGCUGACUGCUCUCCCCUUUGUGACUCUUAUAUUCCGGAGUCGAGAGUGGCCCUCAUUUUACGCUUGCUCCUCUCGCCACGCCGCUAAUUUGGAACACCUCGCCUGGAAUCGCAUGCAGGAUGAGGCAUGGAAGUUGGAAUGGGAUGAUGGAAAGAAGAAGGACCAAGAGAUACGCAGGUUAUUAUGACGCAGAAUCAGUGGUCGCCUUCAGACGCCAGAGGGUGACCUGCCUUGGCCCGACAUGCGAAGUCACGGCGUCUGUUGUAAACCGAGGACUCCGAGCACAGACCACAUGGCCAUGGGCUCUGCUUUGACUGGUCAGUCAGCGGAAGGAAGACUAAAGACGAAGAUACUAAAAGGCUGUAUCUGGAAAGUGUAUAUAAAAACAGGGGGAAAACAUGGCUCUUGCUGUCUUACCCUGUCACUUUGGGAGAGACAGAGAUGUCGCGACGUUAGUCACACACGUUGAGGAGGUCCGAGAGAGACGCCUCUCCCGGUUGGACAGGUCGAGCAGUACCCCGAUAUUUUGCGUGGUGGAUAUCUUGGGAACUAAUCCCGGUGCCGGAGCGCCCCAGUAUGCGAGCUUCAAGGCUAGUAGUUCGUGCAAUCAACCGAACGACUGCUCGGGAUUUCUGGUGCCAUGCAAGUCCCUUGGCAGAACAUACACUGACUCAUCCACCCCCGCACUCACCCGAUUAUUAGUCAGUCUGCAUGCUGUUCCUCGCUGACCUUACAGCUGGGACCGCUCGCAUUGUUAUAAGUGGUUAUUAAAAGUUGUUGCUCCCACAUUUGAUUUACCCGUAUGUAUGCAUUUACGUAUAUGUUAGAGACGACACAGUGUUACAUGGAUACACAUGAGAAAGAGGCUUUAAACUCAAUCACCGAUGCUGUUGAGAGCAGGGGUGGGAAAACUACGUCCCGCGGCUGCCUUCAAAGGAAAGACUGGUUUUAACGUUUUAUUGUGGGUUUUUGUGUUUUGCUUGAGAUGCCUUUACCUUUAUGCUUAUGCAUAAUAGCUUCGUUUUUUUUAUCCAUCUUUUCUUUUUCCAUUUUCUGUUGUUACUCACAAAUUGAGACAUCAUGUCUCUGGCCAAUGGACAAAGGGCACUGCACUGUCCGUAAGAAUAAGGCGACGAUGGCACCUCCCUGAAAGUACAGGAAAAAUAAAUAGUAAAUUAAAAGCAUGGAGGCGCGUCGACAUUAUGCAAAUUCCCAAUUAAAAACCGUUACAGAAGUGACACUGUCAUUUCAUCAUCUGAAGCCAAAGCACGCGCUAAUAAUUUCGAUUCCACCCUAAACGCGGUCAAACGAAAGACCUUGCAAUCGUUAUAAAUUAAUGAAACUGGGAUUUUACAUACUGGGGAAAAAAAGGGGAGAAAUAAGGGGGGAGAACGAGAGGACGAAUUUUAAUAUUAAUCUGACACCAAGUCAUUCAGUCCCUGUAUAUGCUCCGCGCGUUGCAUGACGAAAGACGUUUCUGGAAGAGGGUCAAAGGUCUCGCGGUCAGAAGGCUGAAGGUCGUAAAUCGGGAGAGAUGUCUUUGUUCAUGUGUAUACAGUAUGAACAGCAAAGGACUGAUACUCCUAAGCAGAUGCACUGAACAUAGCCUAUGCAUCACUGACACAAUGUUCUGUCUCCCACACGAAAACACCUGGAUGCACCCCAGACCUGCCUCUUACGUUUCCAAAACGCUUUAGAGGGGAAAUUUCCCAAAGAAACAUAUCUCACCCAUCUCAAAGACAUGGAUCAAGUUCAGACAAAUGGAUGCAGUUCAAAGAUACAGUCACUGCCAUCGGGAAGGAAAAACACGGUUUAGUCCCGAAUGUCAGCAGGUAGGCGGCUUUGACAAUCUCCCCAUCGCAGAUCGUAGUUGGCGCUUGCUUGGCAAUGGGCAAACCAAAGUUACAAGCUCUUACCAAGCUUGGACGAAUCUUGCGUGCUUUGCUGGGUACAAACAGGUCUCUAUACAAAAGGCACAUCGCACAGGUUUGGUGCCACAAGUUCUUUUUGAGCAUCAGUUCACAGAAGCGGAUACCGAGCACUUUCGCAAGACAAAUUCCAGAGAUAAUUGUGUAUCAUUUGGAAAUGAAAGAGCACUUAAAUUGUUAACUCUCAGAUCUACCUUGUUUAUCAGUCUUUUAGAAGCAUGUUAUACUUCCAUAUAGAUAACGCUUUUAAUUGUUGUUAUUCCAGUGAUUUAUUUCAACAAUUACAGUUUUGUGUGUGUUAUGCAUCACAACUAAUAAGAAAGUAGGGUUGGGGCUGUAAAGACUAUUGAAAAAUGUGAUAACGUAGAAAAUACUACAAUUUGGGCAAUAAGCUUUUUCACUCAGAGAUAGGGAUAUAGUAAAGCAAAAAAAAAAUGUUGCAUCACAUUGACAUUGGGCACCUGCCCAAUCUAUUCCGUGUACAAUAUAAUCAGUGUUAGGUGAAACCAUGCACUGCCUGUCAUGUAUACAUUUUCUUUUCAAAUUUAAUUCAUUUCCAUAAGUGUGAAAUUACUUUUAUGUUAGUUAAUGGGAAUUUUAAAUUUGUUGUACUCACAAAACAGUAUCGUGCCUCUUGGGACAUUUGUCAUUAUUGAGUUUACAGAGGAAGGCCGUGUUGACCAUACUAUGCUGAAGACUUUAUUAUUUUAGGAUGGUGUAAGUUGCAGGUUCAUAUAUAUAUAUAUGCGCACAUGCAGUAGCUGACUGUAUACUAUUACCAAUUAUGUACUAACUGCUUUUUAUAAUGCAUUGCUGUAACAUUAUCUAUGGCUGAAAUAGUACCACUGUUAUUGCGCUUGCUAAUCAUUUCUGGUUAUGGUGUAUAUUUGCUUAUGCUACAUGUUCUUAACCUUUCCUUCAUGGAUUAUUUAUUUUUCAGUGUACCAGCACCACCAUUACCAGACCCACUACAACCAAAAGUGGCAAACAACCCCUUAUAUCCACAGGCGAGUGCACUAACCACAAGAGUAGUGCCACCACAUUAUGAGCAUCUCAAUGACCAACAUGUUAAUUCUAUACAAGGAAAACAAGAGGAGCCUUAGAAGGCAGCAUCCAGUAAGUGUCUAACGAAGGGAUAGAAAUAAAAUUGAUGCUGCAGGAAGCAAAAGAUAUACUGGUUCAUUUGACGGAACUGGUAACUAAAGACAAGCCUGCUCCAGCAAGGGAUACUCAUCUGUUGCCAGAAGAUUUAAUCCUUCCAGUUAGAACACAGCAGGAGCUGUUAGAGCUGGAAUGAUGAUGACUCCUUUCAUGAAUUACUCAUCAAAAGCCUCUCUUUUGUGUGUGUGGUACAGACGCAAAGGAUUGUGUGAAAAGAAUCGUGUGGCAAAUCCUGAUCGACAAGGUUGCUAGGAAUUAUAACUGAACAGGUAAAAAGGGAGAGAAGCGUGCUUUCAAGGGACUUAAAGAUGCAGACCAUGAUCUGCAGUAAGUGAUGUAUAAAUAUUAGUUUAUAUUAUUAGACUAUAGCUAUAUGAUAUAUUUUAUAUACAUAUUUUAACCCAAAAGAGGUACUGAUAUAAGUGCUCAUUUUUGUGUAAUAUAUGUUGACAUAUUUCAUUGCUAACUCCACCAACAUUUUCUUUAACUCCUUAUUGUAAAUUGUCACCAUUUGUUGUACAUAUGAUUGAUUGUUAUUGUGUAAUAUAGUUGCAGUGCUGAAAUAUGUUUUAAUAAAAAGGAAAGUUUUAA